AGUGAACGCUGGCGGUAGGCCUAACACAUGCAAGUCGAACGGCAGCACAGUAAGAGCUUGCUCUUACGGGUGGCGAGUGGCGGACGAGUGAGGAAUACAUCGGAAUCUACUUUUUCGUGGGGGAUAACGUAGGGAAACUUACGCUAAUACCGCAUACGACCUACGGGUGAAAGCAGGGGAUCUUCGGACCUUGCGCGAUUGAAUGAGCCGAUGUCGGAUUAGCUAGUUGGCGGGGUAAAGGACCACCAAGGCGACGAUCCGUAGCUGGUCUGAGAGGAUGAUCCUCCACACUGGAACUGAGACACGGUCCAGACUCCUACGGGAGGCAGCAGUGGGGAAUAUUGGACAAUGGGCGCAAGCCUGAUCCAGCCCUACCGCGUGGGUGAAGAAGGGCUUCGGGUUUUAAAACCCUUUUUUUGGGAAAGAAAAGCAGCAGGUUAAUUACCCGCCGUUCUUACGGUACCCAAAGAAUAAGCACCGGCUAACUUCGUG
rnacentral:rRNA from 1 species